rnacentral:lncRNA from 1 species
GUGUAUUCCUGUGUGGAGGUGUAAACAGGGCCCAGUCAGGAGGCUCUGAGUGUGUAUUCCUGUGUGGAGGUGUAAACAGGGCCCAGUCAGUAGGCUCUGAGUGUGUUCCUGUGUGGAGGUGUAAACAGGGCCCAGUCAGGAGGCUCUGAGUGUGUGUUCCUGUGUGGAGGUGUAAACAGGGCCCAGUCAGGAGGCUCUGAGUGUGUAUUCCUGUGUGGAGGUGUAAACAGGGCCCAGUCAGUAGGCUCUGAGUGUGUAUUCCUGUGUGGAGGUGUAAACAGGGCCCAGUCAGGAGGCUCUGAGUGUGUAUUCCUGUGUGGAGGUGUAAACAGGGCCCAGUCAGGAGGCUCUGAGUGUGUAUUCCUGUGUGGAGGUGUAAACAGGGCCCAGUCAGUA